rnacentral:rRNA from 1 species
UACGGAGGAUGCGAGCGUUGUCCGGAUUCAUUGGGUUUAAAGGGUGCGCAGGCAGACGGUUAAGUCAGCGGUGAAAAGUAUGCGCUCAACGCAUAUCGUGCCGUUGAAACUGGCCGACUAGGAUACGUAUGCUGUGGGAGGAGCGUGUAGUGUAGCGGUGAAAUGCAUAGAUAUUACACAGAACACCGAUUGCGAAGGUAUCUCACAAAUACGUCAUUGACGCUGAGGCACGAAAGUGCGGGGAUCAAAC